rnacentral:rRNA from 1 species
CGUUAGACGAACGGUCUGGAAAGUCCGACGAUACAGGGUGAUAGUCCCGUAGUUGACGAUGUGUGUUCAGUGAAAUCGAGUAGGGCGGGACACGUGAUAUCCUGUCUGAAUAUGGGGGGACCAUCCUCCAAGGCUAAAUACUACUGACUGACCGAUAGUGAACCAGUACCGUGAGGGAAAGGCGAAAAGAACCCCUGUGAGGGGAG